rfam:Puccinia triticina 1-1 BBBD Race 1 supercont2.96, whole genome shotgun sequence.
AUCUUUGUGCUCGGGCAAGUGAUUAAUCCAGUGAAGUGUAUACUGAGGAUAAUCAAAUUGCUGGUUGCAAACUAUUACCAAAUGCUUCCAUCGCCCUACGGGGCUGUUGGGGAAUUUCUGAGCCCCCAGGGG